GCAGAUGUAGAAAUGAUGACCCGCCUGCAAACGGCUGUCGUUCCGCCAUGAACGGACUCCGGAUGUCGGCAGCCUCCGUGCAGAUGGACUCCUGCUGUCCCCGGGUUGGAACGGUGGCGUGGAACGGGAAGAGGUCCUCCUCUCUCCUCACAGCCUGUGAUUCCAUCUCUAACUGUCCCUUCCUUCCGUCCACUUUCUCCACCCGACUCCCGGUUCCCGCUGGAAUCUCACCUGGACCACUGCAACUCGCCUCAGCUUCACCGCUGCCCACCGUCCCUUCUCUGCACGGAGGCCUCCAUUCAGGGAUGCCAUCCACCAUCUCCCAGGCCAGAUCGAACCAUCUAGAGGCUUUGAGAACUCCAAGGACCUCCCCUUGCUGUCCCACCUCUCAGUGGUCUGGGUGAGCAUUUGAUAAUG